GUGUGUGCCAGCUUCAUCUGGUGCAAAGGUGGAGUCCGUCUAUGAGCACCAGUGCGCAUGCGCGACAGAAACCGCUCAGCAUCACUACAAGGAAAACACCUUGUGGUGAAGGUUCUUAGAAGUGGGAUCGUUUCCGGAAGAGCAUCCACAAACUACUCAUUGGCUUACAUAGUCCUUUUGAGAUGGUUGAACAGGUGGGUUUGUACACGCCAGUGCGGUAGCCAUGGAGGCCAGAAAAGGAUGACAGAUUCUCUAGUGCUGGAGUUACUGGCAGCGAGCCACCCGGUGUGGGUGCUGGGCGCUGAAUCUCUCAACUGUGGAGGCAUCUCUCCGUCUCCUCUCCUGAAGGAGUUUUCUCCCUUGAAAAAAAGUCUUACUAUGAUAAAAUACCUGUACUGAUUAAAACUGCACAGUACGUUCGGA